AUUGAACGCUGGCGGAAUGCUUUACACAUGCAAGUCGAACGGCAGCACGGGGGCAACCCUGGUGGCGAGUGGCGAACGGGUGAGUAAUACAUCGGAACGUGCCCAGUCGUGGGGGAUAACGUAGCGAAAGUUACGCUAAUACCGCAUACGAUCUACGGAUGAAAGCGGGGGACCGUAAGGCCUCGCGCGAUUGGAGCGGCCGAUGUCAGAUUAGGUAGUUGGUGAGGUAAAGGCUCACCAAGCCGACGAUCUGUAGCUGGUCUGAGAGGAGGACCAGCCACACUGGGACUGAGACACGGCCCAGACUCCUACGGGAGGCAGCAGUGGGGAAUUUUGGACAAUGGGCGCAAGCCUGAUUCAGCCAUUCCGCGUGCAGGACGAAGGCCUUCGGGUUGUAAACUGCUUUUGUACGGAACGAAAAGGCUCUGGUUAAUACCUGGGGCUCAUGACGGUACCGUAAGAAUAAGCACCGGCUAACUACGUGCCAGCCGCCGCCGUAA
rnacentral:rRNA from 1 species